UGAACGCUGGCGGCGUGCUUAACACAUGCAAGUCGAACGGUGAACACGGAGCUUGCUCUGUGGGAUCAGUGGCGAACGGGUGAGUAACACGUGAGCAACCUGCCCCUGACUCUGGGAUAAGCGCUGGAAACGGCGUCUAAUACUGGAUACGAACAACGGCCGCAUGGCCAGUUGUUGGAAAGAUUUUUUGGUUGGGGAUGGGCUCGCGGCCUAUCAGCUUGUUGGUGAGGUAAUGGCUCACCAAGGCGUCGACGGGUAGCCGGCCUGAGAGGGUGACCGGCCACACUGGGACUGAGACACGGCCCAGACUCCUACGGGAGGCAGCAGUGGGGAAUAUUGCACAAUGGGCGGAAGCCUGAUGCAGCAACGCCGCGUGAGGGAUGACGGCCUUCGGGUUGUAAACCUCUUUUAGCAGGGAAGAAGCGAAAGUGACGGUACCUGCAGAAAAAGCGCCGGCUAACUACGUGCCAGCAGCCGCGGUAAUACGUAGGGCGCAAGCGUUAUCCGGAAUUAUUGGG
rnacentral:rRNA from 1 species